CCACUGCUGGCGGGGUGUAGCUGCGAGCUCCCUGGCGCUGUUGGCUGGGGGGAUGCUGCGCGCGGGGCUGGGACGAAGCGUGGGGCUCAGGCCCCUCCGGCCCAGCGCGCUAGGGGCGGCCGCGUGCACGGCCCGCAGCAGCGGCCGGCUGCCAGGUGGUAAUAUCCUGAAGCCACUGGAUGGUGUGAAAAUUCUUGAUCUGACAAGGGUGCUUGCAGGACCCUUUGCAACAAUGAAUUUAGGAGACCUAGGAGCAGAAGUUAUUAAAGUGGAAAAACCAGGAGCUGGUGAUGAUACAAGAGCCUGGGGGCCACCUUUUGUUGGAACAGAAAGCGUUUAUUAUCUCAGUGUAAAUCGGAAUAAAAAGAGCAUAGCUGUCAAUAUGAAGGAUUCAAAGGGGGCAAAGAUUAUCAGAGAGCUUGCAGCUGUCUCUGAUGUUUUUGUUGAAAACUACAUCCCUGGGAAACUGGCUGAAAUGGGUCUGGGCUACAAGGACAUUAAAAAGGUUGCUCCUCAUAUUGUGUAUUGUUCAAUAACAGGUUAUGGUCAGACUGGUCCAGUGUUUCAGAGAGGAGGUUAUGAUUCUGUUGCAGCUGCUGUUUCUGGUCUCAUGCAUAUCACUGGGCCUGAGAGUGGUGAUCCAGUUAGACCAGGAGUCGCCAUGACGGAUCUUGCUACAGGCCUGUACACAUGUGGUGCAAUCAUGGCUGGUCUGCUUCAUAGAUACAAAACUGGAAAAGGACUACACAUUGACUGCAACUUAUUGUCAUCUCAGGUUGCAUGUCUUACCCAUAUAGCAGCUAAUUACCUUAAUUGCAAAAUGGAAGCCAAACGCUGGGGCACUGCUCAUGGCAGUAUUGUUCCUUACCAGGCUUUCAAGACUAUGGAUGGCUACCUUGUGGUGGGAGCAGGGAAUGAUCAGCAAUUUGUCACUGUGUGCAAGAUCCUGAAUUUGCCUGAAGUCAGUAAAGAUUCAAGAUAUAAGACGAACAAGCUCAGAGUUCAGAAUAGAAAAGAGCUGAUUGAAAUAUUAUCAGCCCGGUUUUCAGAAAGAACCACCACCAAAUGGCUACAAGUCUUUGAAGGCAGUGGUGUUCCAUAUGGUCCAAUCAACACUAUGCAGCAAGUAUUCUCGGAUCCUCAGACUGGGGAGAGGACAAGCAACGCAGUGGCAGAUGGAGCAGGGAGCAAAAAGCAGAGCAGAAGAUUGGGCAGGGACACAGCAGGGAGCAGAAAGUGGAGCAGCUGAUCAGGCAAGACCAACAGGGCUACCGAGGACACCCUUGAUACAUGAUCCCUAUGCAUUCAUGUGUGAAUGUCACCCUGCGAGCAGCUCUGCUGAGCCUGAAGAACAACAGCUGUUCUUACAAAGCCGCCUCUUUUUGCUCUACGUGUUGCUCUACGUGUAGAGGACCAUUCUGUGACCUCAGGAUAUACCUGUGCAGAUGCUGCUGAAUCCAACCCAUAUUUGCCUUCUUUUCUUGGCUUCUGAAGCUCAGUGGACCCAGUAUUUCACUGUUCUUGACCACCUGAGAAGUAACUGGGGAAGAAUUUCUCUGGAAGCCUUCCCAGUUGUCACACCAACCCUUGAUCCCACAUCGAAGGCAGGAGAGAACACAUCAGGAUGCACUGCAGCUGUGCCCUGCUGGUUUCCUAAGCAGGUGCCUUAACCUCAGGUUGCAGAAUCAGGGAACUGCAACUGGCUUCUUGAUGGCAUCCCCUAGCUUGUUAUCUCCAGUCAAAACUCAGCACAAGUUGGGGGUCUAGCAUUAAUGACAUUUGUAAGAGAAUCACGGAGGUCAAGGUUGGGCUCAGAAGCUUUACUUACCAUUCACUGCCAAGGACAAUCCGUAGAGGGUGCAGUGACAGCCCCCUUUCAGACUACACUGAAUGAACAGCACCCAGGGACUUUAAGUACCUAAAGCAGGAACGUAUUCUCCUCCUUCCCCCUUGUGCUCAGCAUUAUGUUCCCUCCCCUCCCAUUCUUCCCUCCCCUGCCUGCCACUGCUACUGCCACCGUCCCUUGCUAACCUGGGGGUGGGAGGAACUCCACAGCAAUGCUUUGUUCCAGCUGGGCUGAGCAGCGGCUGGGCUUAGCCCAGGAUAAUGGCAGUGGUGGUAGCAGGCAGUUCCUCCUCCCUGACUGAUCCCUACAGGUGUCCCCAACCAGUCCAGGAGCAGGCUCAGGGAGGGGGAACCCACUAGCCCACUUGUUGCUAUUGCCACUACUACAGUCCCAAGAGGAGCAUGCUCCCCAUAUAGGCUGACUGGAGCAGGGCAGGAGCACAUCUGGAGCUUCCCCCAACACUGCCUGGUUAGCUGGGGACAGCCCCUGUGGUGGGCAGGGAAGCAGGGGGGAAUGUGCUAUUGAGCUCAUAGAGGAAGGGGUAGGGUUUGGGGGGGGGGGAUGAGGUAGGAUUCUUACUUGAUAUGGUGACUUAAAGCAAGUUUCCUGCUGCUGCUCUUGCUGUGUGGUUUACUGAUGGGGACGGAGGGGGAGGGGGAGGGGGAGGAGAAGUUGGAAUCAGGGGCACAAGCACCCCGCUUUACAAAAUCCUGGAUCCACUCUUGUUUACUAUCCCCUGAUUCAGGAAUGAACAUGGCUUAAAAUGAAAAUACCUUAAUACAUUCUGGUGAUAGCUCUGAAAUUGGAAUUCAGUCCCAUGUAUCCACAUUAAGUGGAAAUCAAAAUAGUUCAGUUAUGCUAACAAUGCUCCUGUAAUGGCAAAUGCUGGUAUUUAUGCUCAUGGGGAUUUUCUACAAUUGAUCUGCUGUAUUCAGUGAACUCUUUUUAGAGACUGAUAUUCAUGCCUGGAUGCUGUGGUGAUUGUUGCUUUUUAAAUGCUUAGACAGAGCUGUGUGAGAGCUAUAAUGUGUCCUCAAAUACACAUUAACAUUAAUCUGCCAUUUCAUGUACGUAUUUGCAUGAUGUGGUGUAACCGCAGAAUAAAAUGUUGCCAGUUUUUGCCCCAUAGUUCUUAAAUUCAACAUAAAUAAAAACAAUUGUUUCAGUGUU